GCUUACGGCCAUACCACCCUGAGAACGCCCGAUCUCGUCUGAUCUCGGAAGCUAAGCAGGGUCGGGCCUGGUUAGUACUUGGAUGGGAGACCGCCUGGGAAUACCAGGUG
rnacentral:rRNA from 1 species